rnacentral:SRP_RNA from 1 species
GCCAGAUGUGGUGGCACACACCUGUAGUCCCAGCUACUCAGGAGGCUGAGAUGGGAGGAUUGCUUGAGCCCAGGAGUUCAAGGCUGCAGUGAGCCAUGAUUGCACCACUGCACUCCAGCCUGGGCAACAGAGUGAGACCCCAUCUCAA